rnacentral:tRNA from 1 species
GGGGCUGUAGCUCAGUGGCAGAGCACUUGCCUAGCACGUGUGAGGCAUGAGUUCAAUCCUCAGUACCA